rnacentral:rRNA from 1 species
GCUUACGGCCAUACCACCCUGAACACGCCCGAUCUCGUCCGAUUUCGGAAGCUAAGCAGGGUCGGGCCUGGUUAGUACUUGGAUGGGAGACCGCCUGGGAAUACCAGGUGCUGUAAGUU